ensembl:lncRNA PCGF3-AS1 PCGF3 antisense RNA 1
AUUGCAAGCCUCUGCAGAGGCGCUGGAGCUGGGUCAGUCCGCCGCUCACCCCGCGGCCGCACCUUCCCGCCUUCUCAGCUUACAUGGCGUCUUCAACAAAAAGUAAUUGUUUAGAGAAGUGACAAGAUGAAGGAGGACUCUGAGUCCUAGUCUCCCUCCUCGAGUCCCUGUGUGAGCAGAGGUAAACAAUGAAAACUCACCAACCAGGAGAAAUUCACCUAGGACUGGCGCAGAAGGUAUACACCAUGAGCCUGGAAAUGAUUUAAAAAACAACACAGGCUGGGCGCGGUGGCUCACACCUAUAAUCCCAGCACUUUGGGAGGCAGAGGCGGGCGGAUCACUUGAGGUUUGCGAGUUGGAAACCAGUCUGACCAACGUGGAGAAACCCCGUCUUUACUAAAAAUACAAAAUUAGCCAGGUGUGGUGGCGCAUGUCUGUAAUCCCAGCUACUGGGGAAGCUGAGGCAGGAGAAUCCCUUGAACCUGAGAGAUGGAGGUUGAUGUGAGCUGAGAUCACACAAUUGCAGUCCAGCCUGGGCAGCAAGAGUGAAACUCCAUCUCAAAAAAACAAAAAAAACAACCCACAACUGUGGGCCAAAGGGACACAGCGACAAGGGGU